rnacentral:tRNA from 1 species
CCCCUGGUGGCUCAGUGGUAAAGACUCUGCCUGCAAUGUAGGAGACCUAGGUUCAACCCCUGGUCAGGAAG